rnacentral:rRNA from 1 species
GACGUAGGGCGCAAGCGUUGUCCGGAAUUAUUGGGCGUAAAGAGCUCGUAGGCGGCUUGUCAAGUCGGGUGUGAAAACUCCAGGCUCAACCUGGAGACGCCACUCGAGACUGUCAUGGCUAGAGUCCGGUAGGGGAUCACGGAAUUCCUGGUGUAGCGGUGAAAUGCGCAGAUAUCAGGAAGAACACCCGUGGCGAAGGCGGUUCUCUGGAACGCAACUGACGCUGAGACGCGAAAGCGUGGGGAGCAAACAGG